UGGGUGAUCUGCCCUGCACUUCGGGAUAAGCCUGGGAAACUGGGUCUAAUACCGGAUAUACCUCAUUGAUCUCCUGGUUGGUGGGGGAAAGCUUUUGCGGUGUGGGAUGGGCCCGCGGCCUAUCAGCUUGUUGGUGAGGUUACGGCUCGACCAAGGCGACGACGGGUAGCUGGUCUGAGAGGAUGGCCAGCCACAGUUGGGACUGAGACACGGCCCAGACCUCCGUACGGGA
rnacentral:rRNA from 1 species